rnacentral:rRNA from 1 species
GAUCAUGGCUCAGGAUGAACGCUAGCUACAGGCUUAACACAUGCAAGUCGAGGGGAAACGACAUCGAAAGCUUGCUUUUGAUGGGCGUCGACCGGCGCACGGGUGAGUAACGCGUAGGCAACCUGCCCUUUGCAGAGGGAUAGCCUCGGGAAACCGGGAUUAAAACCUCAUGAUGCCGUGUGAAGACAUCUUCAUAUGGUCAAAGAUUUAUCGGCAAAGGAUGGG